rnacentral:rRNA from 1 species
UACGAAGGGAGCUAGCGUUGUUCGGAAUUACUGGGCGUAAAGCGCACGUAGGCGGACUUGUCAGUCAGGGGUGAAAUCCCAAGGCUCAACCUUGGAACUGCCUCCGAUACAGCAAGUCUUGCGAUCGGGAGAGGUGAGUGUAAUUCCUAGUGUAGAGGUGAAAUUCGUAGAUAGUAGGAAGAACACCAGUGGCGAAGGCGGCUCACUGGCCCGAUACUGACGCUGAGGUGCGAAAGCGUGGGGAGCAAACAGG